rnacentral:rRNA from 1 species
CUACGGGAUGCACCAGUGGGGAAUUUUGGACAAUGGGUGAAAGCCUGAUCCAGCCAUUCCGCGUGAGUGAUGAAGGCCUUCGGGUUGUAAAGCUCUUUCGGCCGGGAAGAAAUCGUGCAGGCUAAUAUCCUGCAUGGAUGACGGUACCGGAUCAAGAAGCACCGGCUAACUACGUGCCAGCAGCCGCGGUAAUACGUAGGGUGCGAGCGUUAAUCGGAAUUACUGGGCGUAAAGCGUGCGCAGGCGGAUGUUUAAGCCAGAUGUGAAAUCCCCGGGCUUAACCUGGGAAUGGCAUUUGGAACUGGACAUCUAGAGUGUGUCAGAGGGGGGUGGAAUUCCACGUGUAGCAGUGAAAUGCGUAGAGAUGUGGAGGAACACCGAUGGCGAAGGCAGCCCCCUGGGAUAACACUGACGCUCAUGCACGAAAGCGUGGGUAGCAAACAGGAUUAGAUACCCGGGUAGUC